rnacentral:lncRNA from 1 species
CAGUGGGACUGAACCCAGAACCAUGUGAUUGGGAAGUAGGCUUCUUACUACACAGUCACACCUAUUUCUGACAUAUUUUUACCAUUACAUAUUCAUCCAAUUAAAAAGCAAAACGAAAAUUUCGUGAUAAAGAGAGUAGGGGAGGUCGCCCCUGAAACAAAGAAAGAUAUAGAACAUGAGUGGGUGAGAGGCUUCUGUGAUGCUAUUCUUAUCUGUCGAAUAGUUUAGCAAGUAACGUUUCAACUUUUUUUUUCCUCCUCAGUAUCAAAUUUACUUAUAAACUUGCAAGGGACAAAAUUGAAUCAGAAACUAAUGCAGCAAAGAAAAAAAUCGCAUUACUUUCAGACUCAUCUUCAUAACUAUAAUUUUCCGGCUACAAAUUUCCAGCUGGGAAAAUUAAUGAGAACUGACGGUCGCUGAAGGAUGUCGUAGAAAUAAAAGUUGGAGAUGGAGACUCUCGUCAUAAGAUAGGGGUAAGGUAGCGUAUGGCUAGAGCUGAGAGGAGAGACCGGAUACUGUGGCACUGGUCAAAACUGCUUAGACCCCGGCGGUUCUAAGCAAUAAUGAAGCUACUUAGGCUCUGCUUCAGUAUUGAUCGAAAACAUAGAAUACUCAAUGUAGUAGUAGUAGUAGUAGUAGUAGUAGUAGUAGUAGUAGUAGUAGUAGUAGUAGUAGUAGUAGUAGUGGUGGUGGUGGUGGUGGUUUGUUUAGCCUUCAUUCAACUCGAGUUUAGCGGUCCACUGAUUUUGCUUCCUCAAAAACUUUCUGAAAAAUUCAUUUUUUCAAUAAAGUUUUGCAGAUAUACGUUUUCGGGGAUAUAAGGCACGAUUUUUAAAAAUUAAGUUGUUGUUGUCGUUAUAAUAAUAAUAAUGAUAAUAAUAAUAAUAAUUAUUAUUAUUAUUAUUAUUAUUAUUAUUAUUAUUAUUAUUAUUAUUAUUGAGUGAGAGAGCAGUGCAUGCCAUCAAAGUGAUACGGGUAAAAUGUACGAAGCCCAGUAUACCCAUCAUGACAACCCGUCUGAUAAGGGUACACCAGGCACAUAAUGGUGUGAUUGUAUCUUACACAGACAUAAAUUUUGCUCUUUUACUCUUUUACUUGUUUCAGUCAGUUGACUGUGGCCAUGCUGGAGCACCGCCUUUAUUCUAUCGGUCUCUUUUGCCGAACCGCUAUGUUACGCGGAGCUAAACGCACCAACGCCAAUUGUCAAGCGGUGCUGGGGUAUAUAUUCUUUUAUUUGUUUCAGUCAUUUGACUGCGGCCAUGCUGAAGCACCGCCUUUAGUCGAACAAAUCGACCCCUGGACUUAUUCUUUGUAAGCCAAGUACUUAUUCUAACGGUCUCUUCUGCCGAACGUAAACACACCAUCGGUUGUCAAGCAAUGUUGGGGAGACAAACAUAAAGAGACAAACAUACAUAUAUAUAUAUAUAUAUAUAUAUAUACGACGGGCUUCUUUCAGUUUCCACCUACCAAAUCCAAAUCCACUCACAAGGUUUUGGUCGACCCCGAGGCUAUAGUAGCAGACACUUGCCUAAAGUGCCACGCAGUGGAACCGAACCCGGAACCAUGUGGUUGGUAAGCAAGCUACUUACCACACAGCCACUCCUGCGCCUGUAUAUAUAUAUAUAUAUAUAUAUAUAUAUAUAUAUAUAUAUAUAUAUAUAUAUAUAUAUAUAUAUAUAUAUAUAUAGGUUUGGUUGGCUCGAAGUUAUAAAAGAAGACACUUGCACGUGACGCCAGGUAGUGGGACUGAACCUGGAACCGUGUGGUUGGGAAGCAAACUUCUUACCAUACAUCCACGUCUGCGCCUAUCUUUACGAUAUUCAGUUUACUUUCAAUACGUAACAGGAUUUAUUCUUCGUUAAUAGAUGCAGGCCUGACCGGCCGUUGAUGUUUGCACCGCCCGCCGUCGAGAUUUCAGGUUUUCUCGAAUCCAACACUACUGCAAAAUCGGAAUAACGGCAGCCCGCCUGAGAAAUUAGCUCCACGGGGUAGAAUGGUUGCUGCAGCGUGUGUCGUUGACCAUUCUCCGCGGUAACGCUAUCCUGACUGCGAGGCGUGGCUGAACACACCAUUUGUUCUGGGGUGUGUAACCCGUUGCUCCCUCCCCCUCCAUCUCCUACUUCUUAAUUCCACCCCCCUCCAUUUUUUUAUCUUUUUGUUCCUUUGCUUCUUUAUGAUUAAAUUGUUUUAUUAGCUAAACUGCAUAAAGGAGAUUUUGCUCUCAGAGGACGAACAUUGAAACAGCUAGCAGUUUUCUAAGCUUUGAAACUCGUUUGAUGCCAGUCAAUUCGUUUGUAUCUGACCAUCGAUUGCAAACAUUCGCGCAAGGCCUCAAAUCUAUAGAGAUAGAAAAUUCCAUUAAAUCGACAUCAGUAAUUCACUGGUUCUUAUUUUAUCGACAGAGAAGACUAAAGGCCACUACAAGGUCCAGUCAUUGUUGCAGUAUGGUAGCUUGUGUGCGUAAAUGAUUGUGGAAGCGUGUGGCUAAGUGCUUAGGGUGUUGGACUCAUGAUCGUAAGAUUGUGGUUUCGAUUCCAGGACCAGGUGACGAAAUGUGAGCGAAACACUUCAUUUCACGUUGGUCCAGUCCACUAAGCUGACAAAAAUGAGUAAUCUUGCGACGGACUGGUAUCCGGUCCAUGUGGGGAAAAUAUACGCCAUGGAAACCGGAAGCGGGAAACCGGACCUUAUGAGUCGGUAUGACUCAAGAACAUAACUUUAUCUUUUUACCUUAAUGAUGCUGAAAGCUAUGCCAGCAGAGUACAAGCUCUUGGUAGGGCUUCCUAUGCUGGACAGUCCAAAGGAUAGAAGCCAGGCCUCUUCCCGGAGGUAGAAAUAGGUUUGAAUAGGGCUCGUAACCCUUCCUAGAAUGAAGCAAAGAUACAGAGACAUAGGUGACAAUUCAAAGCGAACAAGACUUGGGAGAGGAAGGUUUUCCUCUUAGGGAAACACAUGCAUUACACGUCAAGUUUUGACCUGGGCCCCAUAAGUAAAGCGGAAGAAAGGACGCCUUAAAAAUGGCUGGAGAUAGAAUACUGAGGUGGAGAUGGAAAAGUAGGAAUCCAGCUGAAGAGAAGCAGAAAAGGCUAUCUAGAGUCAAUAACAGUAAGGAAAAUUCGACUAUGACCGAUGCUCCAAAGGGAGUUAACUGGGGUCGAUAUGAGCAACUUACACCUUUUUCCCGAAGUAACUAGUCCUGUGCCAAAAUUUGAAACCAUUGUUAUUGCCGUUAUUGUUGUUUUGUUAUCGUUCGUUGUUGUUGUUGUUGUUGUUGUUGUUGUUGUUGUUGUUGUUGUUGUUGUUGUUGUUGUUGUUGUUGUUGUUGUUGUUGUUGUUGUUUUCUGUAUUUCCCGAGCUAUUUUCACUCACUGCACCAACUUAUGCAAAUCUCCUGGUGUUGUUUCGCCUCAAGUUGACGCCAAUGAAUUUAAAUUGAGAUCAUAGGCCAUCUAACCAUAUUCAGUCUGUAUCCUUUUUGGAGGCAACAUGUAACAAAGUCAAAGGGAAAUAUUAUGAGAGAGAUCUGACUGCCAUUUUGAGCAGUUUGGAUACUACGUGGAAGCACUCUGCUCAACCGAACGUGCAGCUUUGGGUUCCUGAGUUUUGUAUGAUGUUGUGGUUUGGUGAAGGCGCAUGUCUCAGUGGUUAGAGCGUCGAGCUUACGAUCGUGAGGUUGUGAGCUCGAAUCCCGGACCGGGCCGCAUGCUGUAAAAAUGAGUUGCGACGUCACUGGUGUCAAGCUGUAUCGGCCUUUGCCUUUCCCUUGUAUAACACUGGUGGUGUGCAGAGGGGAGGCCGGUAUGCAUGGGCGACUGCUGGUCUUCCAUAAGCAAGCUUGCCCGGAUUUGUGCCUGAGAGGGUAACUUUCUAAGUGCAAUCCCAUGGUCUGUGUCGUGACCAAAGGGGGUUUCAGAAUGUGGUUUGGGAAAAUAAGAAGGCGUGAUUGUAUGUUACACUCAAUUUCCUAUGUAAAGUACUUGUUUUGUUUCUUGUUCGGUUAAUUUGCUCCCUGCACCAUUAAAAUAUUGACUAAGUGAACAGGGAAGAUGUCCUUGGCUUUUGCAUCAUCACCAUCAAUCUCUAGUCGUUUACUGCCUCAAGUCCUAGGGCUCAUAGGGUUGCUUACUCGGUUUCCAUAACACAUAAGCGACCGGGAUCACAAUAUACCCAUAUAUAGGACCCCAGUCAGUCGCAGAGUUGCUCAUGUACAGUUUAGUGAACUGGAAUAAUGUGAAAUGAAAUGCUUUAGGAAGAACACAGCGCAAUACAGCCCAGUCCAAGAAAUGAAACCAUGAUGUUGCGAUCGUGGAUGCAACACCCUUAUCACUAGUCUACAUGUCUUCAUCAUGCCCUUUUCUGACCCUCGUAUGCUGGUGAGAUUUAUGCAGCUGAUGUAUAAUCUGAUCAUACAGCGGAGGAGGCGGGGCAAUGAUUGUUCUAGAAAAAAUGUGAAUGGGUACGAAACCGGAUGACUCGAUUCGGAAGUUAAAAUCAUUGAAAGCAUCGGAGAUAAUGCUAAACCCUUUUGCAUAUUAUGUUUCAUUCCCCUAUCCCCUUCACAAGAAGAAAACGAACAAAUUAUAAGAAUUUCGUCGCAGUCAAUUGUACAGGGUAGCCCAAAAGUAGCUUUACAGUUACCACGUAGGCGCUUUGAAUUUCUUUUAAAACAUUUUAUUACAUUUAAAUUUCUACUUUACAAUUACCUGUAUUAGCAUAGAAUAAUGGUUUCAUAUCUCUCUCUAUAUAAAGCUGAAGUUGUCUGUGUAUGGCAGGUUUGGUUGCCUUCAACUAAGACUAUCUCCUCUGAGACCCUGCGGUGCAGGCUGACCAAAAUUGAGACUAUGAUAGAAGAAGGCUUGCUCUUCCUUCCAUAGAAGAAAAAAUUGAAAUCGGACCAUGUUAACACCAAAAAUUAUUUACAUCAAAAAGGUGCUUUUUUUCUAUGAAAAUCCCUAUUUUUUACGAUUUUUGGACUGCUGUGUCGCCAUUUUUCGGUGUAUUUCAACCAGAAAAAUGUUCGCUUAAAGAGAAUAACAAGCUACGUAAUGCAAAAUUUUUAUUUUUCAAAAUUUCCAAUUCUAAAGGGUCGAAACAAACCCGAGCAACGCCGGGCGAUACUGCUAGUUUUUUUUAAUAUAUAAUUAAGAUCUAAACUGGUAAUACAUGAAUGCGAAAGAGAUAGUUGAAUAACUAUAAACCUACUUUUGGGCCUCCCUGUAUACAGCAGUCACGUCUCGCCUUCAUAUUACGUUUUACUGCCUCAAAAAUCGAAUAACACGUUAGACAAUGUAGUUCUAGAUAUGCAUAACUACAGGAUAGAUGGUCAAGGCUGGAACUCCUUUGAUCAUAAAUUUACUCAGUCAAGGUUGAACUGGGCUAAAGAACAGCUACAAAAACUGUGGUUCAGUUCAUUUAAAAUGGAAUUAUUACGUCAUCGUUCAUCCUUCCAUGUACAAUGAUAUUUUAUUUUUAGAUAUAACAUUUUCCUUUCAACUGAUUAGAAUAUAAUAAUUAGCAACCAGCUUUUAUGUUAAUGAGAUUUCUAUAAUAACUUUCGAAAACAUCAAUGAUAAUAAACUCAUAAAUUUUGGUGGUGGUGGUUGUGGUGUUUAACCCCAGGUUAACCCUGAUUGAUCUACCUUUGGAUCGAAGAUCUCCAGCUAUGACCAUCCCAUUCUAUUCCAUCUUAUUUUUGGUGUAUAUAAGACCUACCAAUGUCUCUGGUUUGAGGGAAUUUUGGCUGCUGUUUCUAGCAGAUCAAGUGACCGCUUAGAAGCUUGUCUUAUUGGCUCAUUUUUGCUGUUGCUUAACCCCAAGCCAGUUUUCAGCACGUAGAUCAAAGGUCAAAUCUGCUCAGACGUGACCACAAUCAUUUCAUUUUCAAUCGUUUACUUUGGACUGCAUCACUUAAUCUGCUUUUCUUUGUUACUAAGAUGCUAGAGGAUACAUUCGAGAAAAAUAUCGGAUGCUAUUUUUAGUAGAUCGAGUGACAACGUACAGGUCUCCUUCAUUGGCUUGUUGUUGUUGUUGUUGUUGUUGUUGUUGUUGUUGUUGUUGUUGUUGUUGUUGUUGUUGGUGGUGGUGGUGGUGGUGGUGGUGGUGGUGGUGGUGGUGGUUUUUGGAGUAUGAGGAUGCGGAAGAUGGUGGUGGGGGUGUUGUUGUUGAUGAUGAUGAUGGAGGAGUAAUGAUGAUGAAGAUGAUUGGGUGUGGAUUGAUGAUGAUGGUGAUGAAAGUGCUGGUGAUGUUGGUGGUUUUUUGGAGCAUGAAGAUGAGGAGGAUAGUGGUGGGGUGUUCUUGGUAAUGAUGAUGAUGGCAGGAUGAUGAUGGUGAUGAUGAUGAUGAUUGGGGGAGAUUAAUAAUGAUUAUGAUGUGGUGGGAGUGAUGAUGAUGUUGACGUUCACUGUUUUGUUUUUCUUUUGUAAUUUCUUAUUCAUUUUUUUCCUGGUAGACCACUAACUCUCUCAGCAGAAGCACGUCUCUAAACUCAUUAAGACAGACUAAUUGCAAUGAUUGUUAUCUUCACUGUAGAUAAGUAUUAUCAUGCAGAUUUUGAUAAAGAUUUUCAAAUGAAAACGAGAUAUCAUUUAAGUCUAUUUCAUUAAUUCUUAAAACGUAAUCAGGGCAGUAAUUAUAGAAUGAAUUCGGCGUUGCCUCUUAUUUCCGACAUUACAGAUUUAGAGACAAGAUGGCCUCCCUAAUAUCUCUAAAGUUUAUUGCUUAUCUAACAACAAGCUUAUCUAGAUACAUCAAACAAGAUCCAUAUGUAAGAUCAAUACUUCACACGGUAUUUUUCAUUCAAAAAAAUAAUCAAAUAAAACUUCUGGAUUUAUCGGCUGCUUCCGUACAUUUCUGUCUUCUGUUUCCGCCGUUUAUUACUAACAUAAGAAGUUCAGUAAUUCAAGAUGAUUUCAAAUAGCCAGAAGAUUGUUGUGUCUAUCACAUGUACACCAGCUUCAAUAAACUUUAUCAUCUUAACGAUAUUUCUUCCGGCUUUUUUAUGUUCUGAGUUCAAAUUCAACCAAACAAUUAGGAUUGUCAAGGUUAUGAUGAUUUCAUUUAUUUGCCACAAGGGCGAAGGAUGAGGAAGACAAUACAGAGACGGGCAUAAAGUGUGGGCGUUGAAUAUAAUAAUGAAAUGAUAACAAAAAUAAAGUAAGAUAUAAAGUAUACACGGUAUACACUGGAAAAGAAGGGACAUAGGGACAGCAUGCAAAGGUAAAAAAAAAAGUGGCGGGGAGGAUGAGAUGCGGACCUCCUGAUACAAGAACGCCUUUAGGGAUAAUCGAGGAACCCCACUGUUCGAGAUUUCCCUGAAACCCUGGGAGCGAGUGCCCUCUCCAAUUCCUUCUCUCCGACUCACAGGUCUACACUUAGAGAGGUACCCUCUACUCUUGCCAUUUUCGCAGCUUUCACCCACCUUUCAAUAAACUCACUCGAGAACAGCACUUCGCUCUCCACUCUCAGCUUCUUUUUCGAGUAAAACUUGAAGAAGUCAAUGAGAGCCCUUCCAAAGAGGAAUGGAUCUGUCCUCAUGCUUUUCAGCCUUGUCCACCAAACCUCUUUCGCCACGGUCACCAAUAAUAGAACCGGCGCAUAUGAUUAUUGUUGGCGUAUCUGGAGAUGCAAUGAAAUAAAGUAACACGUUAAUCCUUUUACGAAUCGUAAUCUCAGCUUCCUAUAUCAAUCAAUGGAUAAGAAUCGAAUUUCUUUUUCUUGACGUUAUACCUUUAAUCGCAGGCAACUUCCUUACAACAGACUGCCUCCGCUUCCAUCAAGGCAAAGUAGGUGUAAUGAUUGAAAAUAGAAGUGAAUUUUAACACGUGCUUUAUAAGCCAGUUGUCCAAUAUCCUAUGCACUGGCCAUUUCAUCGUAAAUGAAAGAAAUCUCUCCACCAAGCUCCUCUUUUACAAAAGGCAAGAAAGUAAGAAAAAAAGUAAAAAACAGGUUCCGUAAAAGCUGUGUAUUAUCUUUUUAUCAUUUAUUUGUUUUAGUCAUUGGGUUACGACCAUGCUGGGGCACCACCUUGAAGAGAUUUAGACAAACAAAUCGAUUCCGGUGCUUAUGUUUUGUUUAUUUUUGUUUAUUAAAAGUCUAGUGUUUAUUCUAUCGAUCUCUUUCGCCGAAACACUUAAAUUACGGAGACGUAAACAAACCGACGCCGGUUGUCAAACGGUGGGGCAAAAGUUAACAAACACAGAAACAAACAAACAAACACACACACACACACACACACACAUUCACACACACACACACACACACACACACACACACACACACGAGUUUAGUCCCACUGCGUGGCACCUUGGGUAAGUGUCUUCUACUAUAGCCUAAGGCCGACCAAAGCCUUGUGAGUGGAUUUGGUAGACAGAAACUGAAAAGAAGCCCGUCGUAUAUAUGUAUAUGUAUAUAUAUAUACGUGUGUGUGUGUGUGUGUGUGUGUGUGUGUGUUUGUCCCCCCAACAUCGCUUGACAACCGAUGCUGGUGGAUUCAGCAAAAGAGACCGAUAGAAUAAGUACUAGGCUUACAAAGAAUAAGUCUUGGGGUCGAUUUGCUCGACUAAAGGCGGUGCUCCAGCAUGGCUACAGUCAAAUGACUGAAACAAGUAGAAGAGUAAAAAGUAUACAUACAUACGACUGGUUUCAAUACAGUUUCUGCCUAUUAAAUUUACUCACAAAGAUUUUGUCGACCCGAGACUAAACUUUCCCAAAGUGCCACGCUGUGGGAACGAACCUUAAAGCGCGUAGUUGCAAGUCGAGUUUCUUAACCGCACAGCCAUGCUUGCAUCUAGAGUGAGUGAUCUAAAAGCUGGAAAAUCUUCUAUAAGAUGUGAAAAGAAAAAAAAAAUUGCAAAUUUUUUCAUAACGCUAUACUGUUGAUAAUUCAUCCUGAAUAUAACAUCGAUUACACAACAUUUUUAUAUCGAGAUAAUGCCGAUACCACACGCUGUGGUUUCUUAUUUUCCCUCCUAACGUUUUCCUUGAAAAAUCUGCUUUAAAUUUACGUUCAGACAUUUUGCAAUCACGCAGAGUCGUUGGCUUUAAUGCACACGCUUAUAUUACUAACAUUUUUAUUGAAUGGAAGAUUAUUGAACAGAACAGGAGUCGGUCGGUAACAAAGAGCUAAGAUCUUUGUUGAUAAUUUCAAUCAAAUGCAGAACUAACUCUUAGGAAGAAGGUUUACAUAUUUUUUUUUAUUAUGUUGCUAAUAUAUUGUGUUUAAGGAAUUGGAAACUACUAUUAUUAUUAUUAUUAUUAUUUUUUGCAAAAGGUAACUUGACAUGUUCUGCUGCAUAAACAUUGAUAAUGUAACCACGUUCCCAAAAUGAUUCUAAGUCUAAAAUAAAUUUAUAAUACGAUGAGAUGGUUGUAGAUGCUACAUCCGCUGACCACGGAUAUCCUCUCUUUCCAUUGAAUUUCAUGCGGUAGUCACAUCAAUUGCACUCAAAUUGCUACUAUAGAUCUUCAUUUGUUUGUUUGUUGUUGUUUUUUUUCUUGUUCGUUUGUUUGUUUGUUUUUUUGUACUUUAUCGAAUAAAAUAUACUGGAUCUAUUAUGCUUACAUUUCACGGAGAUAUUAAUGGAGAUUUUAACGGGAAUGUUAAAAAGUUCCAUCAGCAUUACCAUUAGCAAAGGCGUAGUUUGCAUUCAGGUUGGAUAUUCAGAUUGGAUAAUAAUAUUCCUACAUUGUACAGUAAGGAUUGAAGAAAUAUAGCAAUCAUUUACACCCACACACAUAUAUAUGUAUGGAAAUUUUAUGUUGGAUGAUAGAUAGAUAGAUAGAUAGAUAGAUAGAUGAUAGAAAGAUAGAUAGAUAGAUAGACAGACAGACAGACAGACAGACAGACAGACAGACAGAUAGAUAGAUUAAAUAAAGUAUUUGCACAAUCGACCGGUUUCGCUUGUGCUAAUCAUGACCAAGAAGUUAGUGAUGUUACUAUUCCAUGCUAUCGUAAGAAGUUUUUAUUCCAUGUUAAUAUAUAUAUAUAUAUAUAUAUAUAUAUAUAUAUAUAUAUAUAUAUAUAUAUAUAUAUAUAAACUACACCUUUUUAGUAUGCUUGUGAUUAUCUAUUUUACUGGAUAAACAACGGGAAAACUGAUAUGUACAUCAUGUUCUAUCUACACAUUUCAGUCGUUAAACUGUGGCCAAAUUAGAAUACUGCCUUCAAGAGUUUUAGCCGAACAAACCGACCUUAGUGCUUAUUAUUUUAUUUUCAGUUUGGUACAUAUUCUAUCGACCUCUUAUGACGGGGACAUAAAUAGACCUACAUCGGUUGUCAAGUGACGUUAAGAUAAGCACAAACUUAAAGACAUAUACACAAACAUAUAAAUAUGUAAAUAUAAUUGUUCACAAGCAGAAAUGAGAGAGCAAGUUGAUUUAUUACAUCAAUUUACAAUUGUUUCAUCGAUUUUCAAUCUCAAGAGAACUGAUAUAUUAUUAUAUGAUAUAUUGAUAACCUUGAGAUUGAAUAUAUAUACAUAUGUGUGAGUGUGUGUGUAUGUAUACAUAUGUGCAUGUAUGUGUGCGUGUAUAUGUGUGUGUGAGUGCAUUUAUGUGUGUGUGUUGGUCCCCUCCAUCGCUUGACAACCGACGUUGGUGUGUUUACGUCUCCGUAACGUAGCAGUUCGGUACAGAGACCGAUAGAGUAAGUACUAGGCUUACAAAGAAGAAGUCCUGGGGUCAAUUGCUUCGACUAAAAACUCUUGAAGGCGAUGCUGCAGCAUGGCCACAGUCAAAUGACUGUAUAUAAAUACACACACACAUAAAUAAAUGUUUAAUGGUGUCUGUCUCUCUGUGUAUGUUUGGGGUUACUCUAACUCCUCCCACACCGUCCAACCGAUUAUAAUGAUUUUUGGCACAAAGGUAGAUCCCCUGCCCUGAAGUUCAAAUAAGGCCGGAAUUUUUCGAAAACUUGAUAAUGUUUAGUUGGCAUCGAUUUUUGUGAGCUCAGUCGGGCUUUUGAAUGGAAAUUCCCAUAAUGAUGUUAUUUUUCCUGCAGCUUUUGCAUUUUUUCACGUGUAAAAUUUCAACAAAACCGAAAGAAAUGCUUAUUCAAUGCAAGGUCAGAGGUGGGCUUAACUUCAACACGGAAAACACAAGCAACGCCGGGUCCAACAGCUAGUGUAUAUAUAUAUAUAUAUUAAUAUAAUAUAUAUAUAUAUAUAUAUAUAUAUAUAUAUAUAUAUAAAAAAGGAGGAGAUGUCGAACACGAGUGGUGAUAUAUAAAAAAGGAAAUGAAGAAAAUGCUGACAAAUAAUUGAAGUAAUUUAAGUAAUUUAAUUAGGUGAAAGUUCUUUUUACCGGUUGCGCAUUUGUUAUGCUUAUCAAAAUAUUUUGAUAAGCAUAACAAAUGCGCAACCGGUAAAAAGAACUUUCACCUAAUUAAAUUACUUAAAUUACUUCAAUUAUUUGUCAGCAUUUUCUUCAUUUCCUUUUUUAUAUAUAUAUAUAUAUAUAUAUAUACUAAGCAAUUAAGGGUUUAGCAACGAAAUGCCUUACCGCACACCGAAUUUAGAAAUAGCAGUCAAAGAGAUUAUAGCUAUUUCUUCUACUAAAAGGGAGAUCUCAGUAAAAACACAUGCUGUGUUUUUACUGAGAUCUCCCUUUUAGUAGAAGAAAUAGCUAUAAUCUCUUUGACUGCUAUUUCUAAAUUCGGUGUGCGGUAAGGCAUUUCGUUGCUAAACCCUUAAUUGCUUAGUAUUACUUAAAUUUUCCUCGAAUGAGGCUUUUACAUGCCGAAGACUACUUGGUGUAAUUGAUAAUUAUUCCAAAUUAAUUAAUUUCACCCUUAAUUGUUACUGAUAUAUAUAUAUAUAUAUAUAUAUAUAUAUAUAUAUAUAUAUAUACAACGGGUUUCCACACAUUUUCUAUUUUCGAAAUUCUUUCACAAAGCGUUGGUUGGCCCGGGGCUAUAGAAGAAGAUACGUACCUAAGUUACCACAGGAUUGUACGUGAUCUUGAAGUACGUGACUGCAAAAUGCUCUUCCUAACUACACCCCCAUGCCUGCACCCAUAUAUGAAAAUACCCGCCUUUUGUAUCAGUCUUACUGUUAUCUAUUUUACAGGUCAAGCGACGUUGUAAACAUAUGUUUUUUUAUACGUUUGUACAUAUAAUAUUUAGUGGGUAUUCUUCGAAAAUGUAAAACUUUAACUUCCGCCUCACAUGACUCUUCUUCACUAACAGCAUAUGUGAUUCAUGGGUUGCUCUUUAGAUUUACUCCGUAUCGGCUUUCCAGUGGGUGAAACCAUUAAAAGCUAUCAGCAGUGAUUUCAAAACCCUCCCACUGUUAUCUUUGUGUGUGGGUGCGUGUGUGUUAGAUUAAUUAUGCGUUCAUGAUAUCGAAGUGAUGAAACAAGUGCAAAAAUGUGCUGCUAUUAAUACUUGCAUUUAUAAGGAGGCGAGGUGGCAGAAACGUUAGCACGCCGGGCGAAGUGCAUAGCGGUAUUUCAUUUGCCGUUAUGUUCUGAGUUCAAAUUCCGCCGAGGUCGGCUUUGCCUUUCAUCCUUUCUGGGUUGAUAAAUAAAGUACCAGUUACGCACUGGGGUCGAUGUAAUCGACUUAAUACCUAUGUCUGUCCUUGUUUGUCCCCUCUAUGUUUAACCCCUUGUGAGAAAUAAAGAAAGAAAUAAGGCGGUGAGCUGGCAGAAACGUUAGCACGCCGGGCGAAGUGCUUUGGGGUAUUUCGUCUGCCGCUACGUACGGAGUUCAAAUUCCGCCGAGGUCGACUUUGCCUUUCAUCCUUUCGGGGUCGAUUAAAUAAGUACCAGUUAAUCACUGGGAUCGAUGUAAUCAACUUAAUCCCCUUGUCUGUCCUUGUUUGUCCCCUCUAUGUUUAGCCCCUUGUGGGUAAUAAAGAAAUAUAUUAAUACUUGAAUUUAGUUAGUUUUGGUUUAAUUCAUCAUGCAGUCGUAGAAUACAGCUUCAUCGCUUCCAGAGUCUUCGUGUAUUUAUCUGUUACUGGAAAAUAACAGAAAUUACGUUCGCAGCGAGCUUUUUUCUAUUGACUUCUGUCGUCUCCCGAUUCACUAGAAAAUACGUGUCUUUUUGCUGACCAAAAUCCAUUAUAAAGUCACGUAGGAAAACUGUUAUUUGAUUUCUUUGUAUCUUGGAUCAGUCGAAGUUAGCGACAUAAAAGUUGAAGCCAUUAACAAACACUGUGGACAAAGUUUAUACUAUCCUUGCUGUUCAUUACUAUUCAAAUACAUCCACUCUGGACUUUUUUUUAAACAGAAAUGUGUCUGGUACCAAGACAGAAACGAUUGUACAAAGUAUUAUAAUGCUCUUUCGGAAUAUAUGACACUAAAAUGCAUUACUAUGGUAAUAGAUAAAGUAGAUAAUAUAUACACAAAUGUGUAUACUUACUCAGACAGUUAUAUCUUUAUCAUAUACAUGUGUGCUUGUAUGCAUUAAUACAUAUAUAUAUAUAUAUAUAUAUAUAUAUAUAUAUAUAUGCACUCGUAAAAAAUAUGUCUAUAUAGGUGAGUGCGUGUAUAUAUAUAUAUAUAUAUAUAUAUAUAUAUAUAUAUAUAUAUAUAUACGCAUACACAUAAAAAUCACUUACAUGUCAUACACAUACACGUAUACACUUGAAUUUUGAGACACCAAGUGUGACGAUAGGUUGUGAAUAAGUUCAAAUGUCAAAUGGUGUUUAAGCAUAGGGCCCUCUCUACGAGAAGAACUCGAGGACGUGUGAUUCGAGAAGAAUGUAUGUUUACACACCAAAAGUAAAUACACACACACACACACACACACACAUAUAUAUAUAUAUAUAUAUAUAUAUAUAUAUAUAUAUACAUAUAUAUAUAUACAUACAUAUAUAUAUAUAUAUAUAUAUAUAUAUAUAUAUAUAUAUAUUUUCAACAUGUGAUCUCUUGAGCACCACCAGCAAAACAAUUUUUUCCUCUGUCUUCCCUUCUCGGAAUCUUUCCUUCUCCUUUGUUUCCGACGAAAAGCUCCGCUCGAAACGUUAAACCCUCCUUCCCUUCUUUCUUGAGCGUCAAAUAAUACUUUAAUUGUUCCACGUCCUCGCAUUGCUGUGUUUUUUUCUGUGUUUUCUUGUUUGGAUUAACUAUAUAUAUAUAUAUAUAUAUAUAUAUAUAUAUAUAUAUAUAUAUAUAUAUAUAUAUAUAUGAUAGAAAUGGGCAAGACAACAAAAAGAAAGAGACCUUGAUAUUUUGUAAAUAGAGGAAUUUAUCUGUAAAUAUAAUAUGUGACAAUGAUAAAACUCCGUAGCCAUGAUAAAACUCCGAUUUUCGGAUGUCGGGGCGGAAGCCCACGUCGGCAUCUCUUCAGUUAUCGGGCCAUUUUCAUAGCAUUUUUUUCGAUGGCCUGAUAACUGAAGAGAUGCUUGGCUAUUUCCAUUGCUUGUUACAAAUCAUUUGAAAUUAUAAUUAUUUCCAAUUCUCUUGAAAUAUGUACAAUAGUUUUUGACUUCGUUGAUAACCGUAGUUUCGUUUCUUCAUUCUAGACUCCAAUUCAGUGUACCCACGUGCUAUGUCAAAACAUCAAGCUUCUUCACCAUUCUCGAUGUGGACAUGCGGACUAGUCAUUCUGAUACUUGUCUAUACAUCCGUCAGUAACGUGGAUGCAUUUUACUUACCAGAAUAUAGACUGUAAGUAAUCUUUAUAUACCUUGCACUGUAGUCUGUUUGUGUGAUUCUGUUUCCUUAACAUGUUGUGCUGUUGUUAAAUGUUUUACUAUAAAUAAUUUGUUUCCUACCGUUUUAUUUUUAUCUCUCUCUAUAUAAACGGCAGUUUGUCAGCCUGUGUGUCUGUGUGUCUGUCAGGUUGUACCCUCACCCUGACCACGGCUUUCAACCGAUUCUGAUGAAACUUGACACACACAUAGCCCAAUGUCAUAAUUCAAAACUAACGCAGCGAAAAUUUUGAAAAGUUGCCCCAGUUCUGAAUAAAAUCGAUAAUUCCGACAUGGGGUCGAGAAUCUAAGCUUUUUAUUUGCAACACAUUUUCUGUUGUAGUUUUCGCAACUUGCAAUCGAUUUUCACCAAACUUAUGGUGAAGCUUAAUGUUACCCUAAGAAACUUAAUUCUGAUGUUAGUUUUCUAUGCAAUACCUUACCAUCAGAAAAAAAAUCGAUAAAAUCAUGCCAUUUUGGGAAAUCGCGUUCAAAUUCAAGAUGACAUAUUUUCGACAAUAUCUUUCACAAAUUGGUAGGAAUUUUUUUCUAAAUUCACAGCGAGCAUCAUGUCUGCUCCAGGGGCUCUUACAUACCCGGGAAAUGCCGGGCUAUGCUGCUAGUUUUUCUAUAAACUGAUGUACCAACAGCAUCCGUGUUCUGUGCAACAAUGCCCUCAGAUACAGCUUCCAAACACACAUUUUCAUACACUUACACACACACAACGUGCAUAUAUAAAUCUCUCUCUCUCUCUAUCUAUCUCUCUCUCUCUCUCUCUCUCUCUCUCUCUCUCUCUCUCCACACACACACACACACACACAAACAUACAUAUAUAUUCUUUUCUGCUCUAGAGACAAGGCCCGAAAUUUAUGGGGAGGGGGCCAGUCGAUUAGAUCAACCCCAGUACGCAUCUGGUACUCAAUUUAUCGAUCCUGAAAGAAUGAAAGGCAAAGUCGACCUCGGUGGAAUUUGAACUCAGAACGUAAAGGCAGACGAAAUACCUAUUUCUUUACUACCCACAUGGAGCUAAACACAGAGAAGACAAGCAAAGACAGACAAACGGAUUAAGUCGAUUAUAUCGACCCCAAUGCAUAACUGGUACUUAAUUUAUCGACCCCGAAUGUAUGAAAGGCAAAGUCGUUAAUCUUUUAAUUCUAGAUGAUGAAGACCAUGGUUGUACAUUGUUAAAUCCAGCAAGCAAAAAUUACAGCGUGUUCUUCACAGACAUAUACACACACAUAUAUGUAUGUUUUGGUUUGUAUGUAUGUAUGCACGUAUGUAUGUAUUAUGUAUGUAUGUAUGUAUGUAUGUAUGUAUGUAUGUAUGUAUGUAUGUAUUAUGUAUUAUGUAUGUAUGUAUGUAUGUAUGUAUGUAUGUAUGUAUGUAUGUAUGUAUGUAUGUAUGCAUGAUGUAUGUAUGUAUGUAUGUAUUAUGUAUGUAUGUAUGUAUCUUCUGUUUUUAAUCAUUUAAAUUCUUCCUCUGAGCAAGGAGCUGGUUUCUAAUAAAGAUACAAAGCUACAUCUUUGGAAUGUAGAUAAUGAAAACAAUGCCACCUUUUAAACCUGAGAAAUGUCUCGCAGAGUUUUACUAUUCCGUUUACAGAUUGAAUAUGUAAUGUGCGAAUCAGUUGGUUGAUUUCUGUUUUUUGAAAAUCCAAGCUUAUCCAGACUGGCACUUAGGCAUUUACUUACAAGACCAAGUGCUCCAAUUAUUAUUGGGAGAAAUGUAAAAUUAUAAACCGAAUAUAGAAGCUGGAGGCUUCGAAGCAGUUGUCCAUAGUUAUCUACUUUCUCUUUCAUUUUCAAAGAGAUAUAUUUCUUUACUACCCACAAGGGUAGUAAAAUACAGAGGGGACAAACAAGGACAGACAAACGGAUUAAGUCGAUUAUAUCGACCCCAGUGCAUAACUGGUACUUAAUUUAUCGACCCCCGAAAGGAUGAAAGGCAAAGUCGACCUUUGUCGUAUGUAUGGGUGUGUAUGUAUGUAUGCAUAUCUCUAUGUGUGUGUGUGUGUAUUCAUGACUCUAGGCCUGAGAUUGUCGGUCAUUGCACUUAUUAAAAUUUAAGCACAACGACCAAAACUCGGCUCUUCAUUCAAAUGUGUGCGUGCGUGUGUGUGUAUAAGAGAGAGAGAGAUAGAAUGUGUGUGUGUGUGUGUGUGUGUUAGAUGAUGUGUGUGUGUUAGAGAAUGUGUGUGUUAGAGAAUGUAUGUGUGUGUUAGAGAAUGUGUGUGUGUUAGAGAAUGUGUGUGUGUGUUAGAGAAUGUGUGUGUGUUAGAGAAUGUGUGUGUGUGUGUUAGAGAAUGUGUGUGUGUUAGUGAAUAUGUGUGUGUUAGUGAAUGUGUGUGUUAGAGAAUGUGUGUGUGUUAGAGAAUGUGUGUGUGUUAGAGAAUGUGUGUGUGUUAGAGAAUGUGUGUGUGUUAGAUAAUGUGUGUGUGUUAGUGAAUGUGUGUGUGUUAGAGAAUGUGUGUGUGUUAGUGAAUAUGUGUGUGUUAGUGAAUAUGUGUGUGUUAGAGAAUGUGUGUGUGUUAGAGAAUGUGUGUGUGUGUUAGUGAAUAUGUGUGUGUUAGUGAAUGUGUGAGUGUUAGAGAAUGUGUUUGUGUUAUAGAAUGUGUGUGUUAGAGAAUGUGUGUGUGUUAGUGAAUGUGUGUGUGUUAGAGAAUGUGUGUGUUAGUGAAUAUGUGUGUGUUAGUGAAUGUGUGUGUAUGUUAAGAGAGAGAGAGAAUGUAUGUAUGUGUGUGUUAGAGAAUGUGUGUGUGUGCGUGUGCCCACGCGCUUGUACGUGCGCGCGCACAUGUGGUUUCGUGUAUAAAAGAUAUAAAUAUCGUUGAGAGUUCCGAAAGCGGUAACGAUUUCAAAAUACGUCAUGAGGAUGCUUGUUCUGCAACGAUUUCUCAGGCGCUCCUUUAUAGCUUUUCCUUCAAAAAUGCAACAAACCAACAGACCAAUGAAUGAGACGCUGGUAGUCUUUCACCAAAGAGGUUAUUGUUCACCAGGUGCAAAAUAUUAUUUACAGUAACGAGUAUGUUUAUAAAACGCUUCCAGUUCUAAACACACACAUACACACACGCAUACACGCAUACAUACAUACAUACAUACAUACAUACAUACAUACAUACAUACAUACAGUUGAAACACUCCUGUCACAACCUGGGACCUUGAAGACUGCUUUAAUGCAAGAAAGUAUAUUAGUCCCUUAAUAUUUGAUAUCCAAUAUUUCAUUUAUCAAUACUUCAUUUCAUUUUACUAUAUAUACUAUUUAUACUAAUAUAUUCUACAUUAAUAUCAUAAAGAAUAUAAAUAAAACAUAAAAACAGAGUUGGAAUUCCUUUGAAUAAUAUAAUAUAUAUAUACCUCUAUAUACAACCAUAUAAACCCCUUUAUAUAUAUAUAUAUAUAUAUAUAUAUAUAUAUAUAUAUAUAUAUAUAUAUACAUAUAUAUACGUUUAAUGUUUUUUUACACCAUCGAAGAUUGUGGUGUACCAUAAAGUGUCAAAAUCCUGAUGUUAUCGGAUCGGCAGCUGAUGAGAAAAUUUUCUCGGUUAUAUAAGAAUGCGUUUUCAGUCUCGUUAAUGUCUUUGUACAUUGUUACUGUCCUGUUUGAUUUGUUUCACAUUCUAAAGAUAAUGCUAUUUCUUCUUUAUUGGAUGAUAGAUAUCGCAUGAAUUAGAGGUCGUUGGAAGGAUUGUAUACUAGGGUUUUAAGCAGUUUUAGUUUAUCGUAAAAAUAGCGUACGUGUGUGUAUUCACACGGACACAGACACAGACACACUCACAUAGUUAUACACUCAGAAGAUGUGAAGCAAAUAUCUAUAUAUGUGUGUGUGUUUAUGUAUAAUUAUAAAUAAAACUGUCGAACAUUGAAUUGAAGAUCGUGCGAUAUUUUUCAGUAGAGGAGCAUAUUUCUAGAUUUUUAUAGGGAAAAGUUUAGAGGUUACUUUGUCAUUUCAGCUGUAAUCUUCAUAUCUCUCUCUCUCCCUCCCUCCCUCCCUCUCUCUCUCUCUCUUCUCUCUCUCUAUAUAUACAUAUAUAUAUAUAUAUAUAUGUGUGUGUGUGUGUGUGUGUGUGUGUGUGUGUGUGUGUGUAUGUAUGUAUGUAUAUAUGAGGCUUAGAAUAUUCAAGAAAAAUCGUUAAAAUAUCAGCGUUAAACAAGUUUAUAUUUGUGACAACGUUCAAAAUUUCUGGUAUAGAGUCUAAUAUAAGUUAAGACUUUUAUGUGUAAUAGGUAUGACAUCUAAAACUUAUAUUUCGAUAUAACGAAGUGGACUUGCGACUCAAUUUUUUUACAUGAACACUCGUUUAUAUUCAAAAUACCACUUUGGAAACACUAAUUUCUAAUUUUGGUACAAGGCCAGCAAUUUUGAGGGAAGGAGUUAUCCAAUACCAGUGACACCAGUAUUUGGUUAGUGCUUUAUUUUAUCGACCCAAGUGAGCUGAAAGCCAAGCUGACCUCGAUGACUUGACUUCAGUAGAAAAAAUAAGCUUUACGUAUUUGCUUCCGCGUUUCAAAUUCUAAAACCCUGUACAACUGUAUGUUAAUCUCACGGAAUUAAACCUGGAUUUUGCUUAUAAUUAUAUUCUUAUUCUCUUGAAAUGUGACUGAUAACGUGGCACUCCGUCGGUUACGACGACGAGGGUUCCAGUUGAUCCGAUCAAUGGAACAGGCUGCUCGUGAAAUUAACGUGCAAGUGGCUGAGUAUUCUACAGACACGUGUAUGUAUAUAUAUAUAUAUAUAUAUAUAUAUGUGUGUGUGUGUUUGUGUGUCUGUGUUUGUCCCCCAACAUCGCUUGACAACCGAUACUGGUGUGUUUACGUCCCCGUAACUCAGCGGUUCGGCAAAACAGACCGAUAGAAUAAGUACUAGGCUUACAAAGAAUAAGUCCUGGGGUCGAUUUGCUCGAUUUGCCGCAGUCAAAUGACUGAAACAAGUGAAAGAGUAAAAAGAGUAAAAGAAAGAGAUCGAUCGAUAGAUCGAUAGAUAGAUAGAUAGAUAGAUAGAUAGAUAGAUAGAUAGAUAGAUAGAUAGAUAGAUAGAUAGAUAGAUAGAUAGAUAGAUAGAUAGAUAGAUUGGUGUGUUUGUGUGCGUGUCAUUGUGUCUAUGUUUGAUCUUCACCACCCCUUGACAAUUGAUAUUGGCAUCCUUACGUACCCAUAAACUAGCGGUUAAGCAAAAAAGAUCGAUAGAAUAAGUGCCAGGUUUUAAAAUGGUGAAUAGGUACCAGGGUUCAAUUUGUUCGACAAAAACAUCCUUCAAGGUGGUGCCCCAGCGUGACUGCAGUCUAAUGAUUGAAACAUGUAAAAGAAUAAAAGGAUAUGUAAACAAAAAUGAUUAAGUGUGUGUAUUCUAUGCAUUGUGGAGGCGCGUGGCUUAGUGGUUAGGGUGUCAGCAUCAUGAUCGUAAGAUUGUGGUUUCGAUUCUUGGACCGGGCGUCACGUUGUAUUCUUGAGCAAAACACUUCAUUUCACGUUGCUCCAGUCUACUCAGCUGGCAAAAAUGAGUAACGCUGCGAUGGACUGGCAUCCCAUCCAGUUGGGGAACGCAUACGCCAUUGAAACCGGGAAACCAGACCCAUGAGCCUGGCUAGGCUUUAAAAAGGGCGCAUUUAUUAUCAUUUUUUUUCUAUUCUAUGCAUCAUAUUUCUUGUUCUUCAAUUUAAGAUUGAAAUGCUUAUCUCCCUUACAAUAGCUGGUCACAAGGUUGCACCAUUAUCAAAAACAUAUGAGAAGAAUUUUUCCUCUAACUUUUCCCUCUUGAAAACAUAACAAAUAGAAUAUACAGUAUAUUAUGCAGUUCCUGGUGGAAGUGAAACUGCAAAAAAUGUUUUUAACUCCUCGGCAUUCAAAUUAUUCUGUCAAAUGUAUUGCUUAUUUAUUCAUAUUAUUUUUCAUUAAUCGUACUUUUUUCUCAUUGCUUUGAGUUUUCAAUGGUAUGACUGUGUUUUUAGGGUGAUAAUGUAAAGGGCUAAAUCUGGCUGGUUUGAAUAUAAAAUAGGUAGAAUAUUUUGGGCCGGAUAUGGCCGGUUUAAAUGCUACUGAAAUUAAAUGCUGAACUGAAACUAAAGCCAGUGUUGUUGAAAUGCAACGAGGGUAUUGGAUUCCUUUGAACUUUUACAUAAGAAAUUGUAAAUAUACUUUGUUAAAUACCGUUUCGACUUAAAUAAUUUAUGACAAAAAAGAAACACAUGUAAAGCAUUUAUUUCCACGCAAACUUUUCAGAAAGGAAUCUGUGCUAAAAAGUAAAGUGAAUAAAAUAUGGAUGCAUAAAUGAGAAAAAUACAUAAGACUAAAUACACGAAAGAGUAGCAGAUUUUGAGUGAAAGUCAGAGACCCCGAUACAAAAUAGAAACGGGGCAAUCAAGAGGAAAUAGUUGAUAUGGUGUGGAUAAAGUGAGAGAAAGAGUAGCUGAGAUAGAAAUAGCUAUCAGUAGGUUUAUAGAAUUUUAGUCUUCGACUUAGUUCCUCUCAUACAGCUUACCUGUAUAUUGGGCCGCGCUUAUGAUAUACUGAGAUGAAAAUGUGGAUGUUAUCGUUAGAUUCAAAGAUAUCCAUUAAAGCUGAAAGAGGUGUCGGAUAUAAUGGGAAUGGAUUUCAAUGUAAAGUGAAAAGUGUUAGUAUUACCUAUUUCUUUACUACCCACAAAGGGCUAAACACAGAGGGGACAAACAAGGACAGACAAGCGGAUUAGGUCCAUUAUAUCGAUCCCAGUGCGUGACUGGUACUUAUUUAAUCGACCCCGAAAGGAUGAAAGGCAAAGUCGACCUCGGUGGAAUUUGAACUCAGAACGUAACGGCAGACGAAAUAUGGCUACGCAUUUCGCCCGGCGUGCUAACGUUUCUGCCAGCUCGCCACCUUACCGAUGUAGUCAUCAGUGUAGUCACUGCGCAGUUCUGAAAUAGGGCUGGGGGGUUGGGAAAUAGCUUAGUUUAGUGUCUAUAGCCAAAGCGGAGUGGUUACAGACAGUAAUAUUAUUCUCCAUUUCACUUCUGCACCGUAAAUCAGCAAUCCUCGUUUUCAAUCACAGUAUCGUAGGAUAUCCGACUUCCGUUUGAAAUUCGAAGAGGCUUAACACUUCCUUUACGGUCGUUUAUGUCUUCGAUUGGUUGUAAUUGCUGUAUAUCGCCGAUCCCAAGCUAUAGGUGAAACGGAAUACCGGAACACAGUUUAGAUACCCAAUUCUGGAAAUAUAUGUAUAGUGCUCGCAACCGAACCCAGGACAACUUGUGGCCCACUAUUUCAAUUUUUUGGCCAUUCUGUUGACCAUAUCUCUGUGUCUGGAUAUUUCCAAACAUUAUACUCCACCACGCUCCUGCAAAUAUAAAAAAAAUAACCGACUUAACCUCACGCUCGUACCAUUUCUCUCACAGGCCUCAACACAGAUCUCUUGUUUUAUUUUAGUUCUCCCUCACAAACUUUCUCUUAACAAGUGCUUCUAUCGUUCGGUUAUUCCUCCUGCGGAAUCGCGUGGCUUAAUGGUUUAGAUGUUGGACUCAUGAUCGUAAGAUUGUGGUUUCGAUUCUUGAACCGGCUGCCGCGUUGUGUUCUUGAGAAAAACGCUUCAUUUCACGUUGAUCCAGUCCACUCAGCUGGCAAAAAUGAGCAAUCUUUCGACGGACAGGCGUCCUGUCCAGGUGGGAAAUAUAUACGUCAUAGAAACCAGGAAACCACCCCCUGUGAGUCGGUACGACUCGAAAAGGAAAGUCUACCUUUACUGUUGUUCCUCUUGCCUUGCUGUAUUGUCCCAACCAAAACUCUGUGUGCGUGUAUGUGUGAAAUUCUUUUUUUGGAUCACUGGAUCUCGAAGCAUAUUACAUAAAGCUGCCUGGAAAGCCUUCGGCUUUAUCAGUCCGAAAGGGUUCUCGAACCCACUAUUUACAUGCUGUUAUUUAUAGCUUUAUCUGUGCUUCGAGGUCCUAUGCUGCAAAAAAGAAUUAUUUCACGUUCUCGCGAGAGUUCAUAAAAUUCUUGUGACGUCAACUAUAUCUAUAUCUAUUCUUCUCUCUCCCCAUCUCUCUCUCUCUCUCUCUCUCUCUCUCUCUGUACAUAUACAUAUAUGUGUGUGUAUGUGUGUAUGUGUGUAUAUUUUCGGAUAUAUAAUACAUUGACGAUAUAUAUGUAUAUAUAUAUAUAUAUAUAUAUAUUUAUAUAUAUAUACUAUAUUAUAUAUAUAUAUAUAUAUAUAUAUAUAUAUGUGUGUGUGUGUGUAUGUAUAUAUGUAUGUAUGCAUGUAUGCAUGUAUGUAUGUAUGUAUAUAUGUAUAUCAGCGUUUUCUGGUGAGUGUAACGGAUAGCAUAACUUCUUGGAUCUAUAAAAAUUCGUGUUAUUCCAUACACCUACGAUAUUCCGGCUCCUUAUUACGUAAGUGACAUUGUUUUGGCAUAACCCAUGGUUUCACCUGAAACAGCUGUCAAGAUAAGACUAUUACAUAAUUCCUUUUGUUUAUUUGUAUCUCAUGUAAAUAUGCUUAUCAAGCCUACUUGUAUUUGUCUUCCUUUUUACGCAUAUGUAUAUAUAUUAUGUUAUAUUUCUUUAUUUUUCAUGCUUGGGUUAAUGUAUUUGUGUAUCGGAAACAUUCUUAUUCGCUGUCCGUUUCAAUCACCAUCUCACCAUCUACAUUUCACUCUAUCAUUCUAACCAAUGCACCACUAUCAACACUUCAUCCUUCCUCCUCACCGUCACCCUCCAACGUAUAUAUUCCCUAAGAUACUGUUUAGUUUAUCAUUAUCCUUCCAUAUCAUAAAACUUUGCACUCGAUCACUGUGUAUAUCUACAGUAUAUUUUUUUCGAACGCAUACUUUUUUGAUUUGUCAGCAGUUAACAUAUUCUCUUCUAAAAAUCUAAUAAACAAUUUACUUCGUUAAGUUAAUGAGCAAAUAUAGGGAAAAGAAUCAACUUCUGUAUAAGCUGUGUGAUUUUAACUAGAAGUUCAGUCAAAACAGAAUCAACUUAACUGACAAUCAGAACUUUCCCUAUAUCGUUUUACAAGUAUUGUGUAUCUUGUGUAUUUUGAGAACGAGCAUUAGUGCAAUUUUUUAUAAUUCUUUGUUUGACUUUAGUGCGAAAAUAUCCCAUUAACAUCAUGACAAGCAUAUUAGAAAAUAGCUGAUAAUUUCCAGAAAAUAAAAGCUUUAAAAGAAAUAUAGAAAUUGAAUUAAUGUGGGAGGUCAAUCCAGAGACAGUUACAAUAUGGUACCAUCGUAUUGAUCGUACGAAAUUAAUGUGAAACGACAUAAAUGCAAUAAUCAGCAAUAAGUAACUGCUGUGAAAGCUCCUACAUGGUUCUGAUUGGAAAGAUGUGAUCGGUGGGAUCAGGAGAAUCAGGAGCAGCACAAAUCAGCUCGGACACACAUCUAAUUUUAAUCAACCUACGUUGAGUCGGGUGGAUGGGGAUUUGUAUGCUGUAAGAGCCGAAACUACCAGUGAUCCCUGGAAGCAACAGUGGCGAUGGGUCAAAGUAGUGCAUCUGAAAAUUUAUGUUGAACUAGCAAUACAUUUUAUACCAAUGAAACCUUUGUGGCUGCAAAAGUUUUUAUCGUUCACUUGUUCCAGUCAUUGAACUACCGCCAUGUUGGGACACAACCUUAAAGGGUUACUCGAACGGAUCGAUCCCAGUACUUAUUUUUUUAAGUUUGGAUUUUAUUCAGUUGAUCUCUUGUUGAAUCGAUAAGUUACGGAGACGUAAACAAAUGAAUACCGGUUGUUACACAGUGAUGGGGAGAAAACACAAAUACACACACACACACACACUUACACACACACACAUAUAUAUAUAUAUAUAUAUAUAUAUAUAUAUAUAUAUAUAUAUAUAUAUAUAAAUUAAAAACAGAACACAAAGGGUAUCGCGGCACACGUGUUUCAAGCUUUAUAAACAAUCUGUUAUUACAUCAGUGUAUUAUUGAUAUAAAAGAUGGUUUAAAGCUCUCUUCAGCCGCAAACAUUGUUAGUUCAAAGAUUACAUCACAAUAUAAAAAGUGCACGUAGUAUUACCCAUUAUAAUAGGUUUAUCAUAUCUCCUUGAAAAAGUAUAUUUGUAUAAUUGUAUAAAUGUAUAAAUGUAUAAAGAUUCAUUGGAUUUCAAAAAUCUGCCCAGCUUAGAGUGAAUGUUAAAUAUAUAUAUAUAUAUAUAUGACGGGCUUCCCCACAGUUUCCGUCUACCAGAUUCCAUCGCAAUACAUUAGUCAGCCUGGGGCUAUGGAAGAAGGCAUGUGCCUGAGAUGCUGCCCAGUGGGACUAAAGCCGAAACCACGUAGCUGCAAAACCAGUUAGUUAGCUACACAGUUAUGCCUAAUUAUAAGGAGUGGCCUUUAUCGAAUAUCCUCACUUCUACUUCAAACUGAGCAUACGCUUAUGUGGCCUUUGGUUGAGGGCUUUCUCGGACAUCAUCUAUCUGAACCUCACCCUGCAAUCACUUUGUCAUCAUUUCCCACGUAACAGUUACUACCAUAUACCCAAUUCAAACCAUUGAUGUGUGUGUGUGUGUGUGUGUGUGUGUGUGUGUGUGUGUGUGUGUAUAUGUGUGUGUGUGUGUAUUUAUCCCUACCGCCUCUUGACAACUGGUAUCGGUUUGUUUACGUACUCGUAAUAUAGCGAUUCUUCAAAAGAGCCUGAGAGAAUAAGUAUCUUUUAAACAAUACUAAAUCCCUUCCAAGCCGUGUCCCAGCAUGGCUGCUGUCCAAUGACUGAAACCAGUAAACGAUAAAAGAUACCUACAUAAACGAAAUUUUUUUCUGCAUGUUCUUUCUUUUCUCCUCAUUGGAAUUCCACUCUCUUCCAUUUCUUCUACCUUUUGGAACUCCAUAAGCUGCUAUAUUUUUUUUCAUCCUGAUGCCUAUACUCCUGUUAUACAAGUAAAAUAUCUUUUUCUGUAGUUUUUCCACUAUAAAACCAUGCUUUGUAAAUAUAUAUGUAUGUACAUAUCCACAAGAGUAAAAAAGAGAGACAGAGACAGGCAGAAACAAGGAAAAUACCCCUUGUAUUUGAAUACUAUGCAAAUAAUCUUUUUAAAAACUUUUCAUUUAAUUUUUCCAAAACUUAAUUUUUCGAAAAUUUAAUUGUUUUCCGUGCUUACAGUUGAAAAAGUCUUAAUGACCGAAACCGGUACUAAAAUGUUUUUUAUAAAAUUAUUUUAGCAUUUUCUACCUUGACUUUUAUGUGUGUGUGUGUGUGUGUGUGUGUGUGUGUGUGUGUGUGUGUGUGUGUGUGUGUGUGUGUGUGUGUGUGUGUGUGUGUUUGUGAGUGUGUGUGUGUGUGUGUGCGUGUGUGUGUGUGUGUACAGAGAAAGCGAGAAGGAGAAAAAGAGGGAGAGAGGAGGGAUACAUCGAACCCAAUGCUCAACUUGGUACUUAUUUUAUCGACUCCCGAAAGGUUGUACGUUAAAGUCAACCUCGGCUGCAUUUGAACUCCGAACAUAAAGCGAGAAGUUCUGCCACGCAUUUUGUCCGGUGCCAACGAUUCUGCCAGCUCGCCACCUUUUCCUGUCUCUAAUAAUCCUUUCUACUAUAGGCACAAGGCCUGAAAUUGUGAGGGUAGGGGCUAGUCGAUUACAUCAACCCCAGUGUUUCACUGGUACUUAAUUUAUCGACCCCGAAAGUAUGAAAGGCAAAGUCGACCCCGGCAGAAUUUGAACUCAGAACGUAGCGUUUCCUUUCUCUCUAAUGAUAAUUAAUUAUAUACUUCACAGUGAAUUGGAUGUUCAUUAGGAAAAUGAAAACCACAGAUGGAAAACUUAUAUCUCCGUUUUAAAAGUAUUUCAAUUUUGAAUAGGAAAAUGCAUUAAUUAUAUUUUCCACAGAUUGCGAAAUUAAUUGCUGUUCUUUAGAAUGUUGUAGGAAAAUAUUUUUUAAUUACUGUGGUGAAGGUGUGCAGAAGGAAUCGCUAACUCGAAAAUGCUUAGAAGCUACUCUUGCAAAAUAACCGAAACGUCAUGCUGCCAAACGACAAUUUUUUCAGAAUGCCACCUGCUACAUCCAUUCUUCUAUUUGUUUCUGUUAUUUGACUGUGGCCACCGCCUUAAGUCAAAUUUAUUCUUUUGUUUUCUUAAAUAAUUUCUAAUAUCUUUAUAUAUAAAAGUGAAGUUGUGUCUGACUCCUACGAUUUAGAUUCCUAACUACUCCCACAUUGUGCGGUGCAGUGUAACCAAAAGCGGAUAUCUUAUAGUCGUGAUUCAUAUCGAGCCCUUCUGGGUAUUAGCGCGCGUCUACGAUUUAAAAAGAAAAUUACCAUCAUUUUUUCCCAUUUUAAUGCAUUUUUUUAAUCUAUUAUAUAAGGGAAGUAACUCUCUAAAAUGUAUUAUUAAAUCUCAGAACGUAAAAAGCUACAGUAACACCCCCCCUUUGUGGUUAGCCAUAUCGAGAUGGCUAUUAUACUUUACAUCUCUAAAAAUGCUUAUAUAGUUAUUUCCCUUACAAACCCGGGCAACGCCGGGCGAUACUGCUAGUUUAGAAUAAAAUGUUUCUACUAUAAGCUCAAGGCCUGAAAUUUUGAGGGGAAGAGAGGUAAUCGAUCACACCGAUCCAAUUGUUCAGCUGGUGUUGGUUUUAUCAUCUCCGAGAAGAUGAAAAGUCAAAGUCAACCCCAGCUGAAUUUGAACUGAGAAUGCAAAGAACCGGAAGAAAUCCCGCUAAGCAUUUCGUCCGGCUCGGUAACGAUUCUUUUCUACUCUAGGCACAAAGCCCGAAAUUUUGGGGGAGGGGGCCAGUCGAUUAGAUCGACCCCAGUACACAACUGGUACUUAAUUUGAAAGGCAGAGUCGACCUCGGCGGAAUUUGAACUCGGAACGUAAAAACAGACGAAAUCCCGCUAAGCGUUUCGCCCGGCGCGCUAACGUUUCUUAUUCCUUUAUUACUCACAAGGGGCUAAACAUAGAGGGGACAAACAAGGACAGACAAGGGGAUUAACUCGAUUACAUCGACCCCAGUGCGUAGCUGGUACUUAAUUUAUCGACCCCGAAAGGAUAAAAGGCAAAGUCGACCUCGGCGGAAUUUGAACUCAGAAAGUAACGGUAGACGAAAUACCUAUUUCUUUACUACCCACAAGGAGCUAAACACAGUGGAGACAAACAAGGACAGAUAGACGGAUUAAGUCGAUUAUAUAGACCCCAGUGCGUAACUGGUACUUAAUUUAUCGACCCCGAAAGGAUGAAAGGCAAAGUCGACCUCGGCGGAAUUUGAACUCAGAACGUAACGGCAGACGAAAUCCCGCUACGCAUUUCGCCCGGCGCGCUAACGUUUCUGCCAGAUCGCCGCAUAUAUUUGCAUUAAAUUACGAUCAGACUUUCUCAUAACUGAAGCUAUUUUUCGUAUCGGUGUUAUUGAAAUCAAGAAUGCUAGUCAUAUCUGCAAAAUGUUCCAAAUAGCACUUGAUGCCUCUAACGUAAUUUGCUACUCCUUAACACGUCAAAACCAUAUGAGGGAAGGGAGUUAAAUAAUCGUAACAUCAAGUUAAAAGCAUUAACCGGAAUUCAUUAGAAAGUUGAUCGGGUCGGUUACCUCUUAGGAAAAUAUUUAUUUCACUAUAAAAUCAUUCACUUCCUCAUGAGGUCGUAAUAGCUAAGAACGUGAACGACCCGAUCAAUUUCUGAAUGUCUGCCACCUGAUUAACCUUUAAACAGGAUUUUAUACUGAUGUUAACAAUUUAUUCCAUGUUCUUGCCUUGUGGUUGCUUUGGCCUUCAAAGCUAGACAUGACCACAUACCAGUUUCAAAGCAAUUUUUUUUUUUUUUCGUCUAUAUAUAGCAUUAAGGCAGCGAGCAUGCAGAAUCCUUUGCACGCUGGACAGGAAUGCUUAGCGGUAUUUCGUCUGCCGUUAUGUUCUGAGUUCAAAUUCCGCCGAGGUUGACUUUGCCUUUCAUCCUUUCGGGGUCGAUAAAUUAAGUACCAGUUACGCACUGGCGUCGAUAUAAUCGACUUAAUCCGUCUGCCUGUCCUUGUUUGUCUCCUCUGUGUUUAGCCCCUUGUGGGUAGUAAAGAAAUAGGUAUUUCGUCUGCCGUUACAUUCUGAGUUCAAAUUCCGCCGAGAUCGACUUUGCCUUCCAUCCUUUCGGGGUCGAUAAAUUAAGUACCAGUUACGCACUGGGGUCGAUAUAAUCGAUUUAAUCCGUCUGCCUGUCCUUGUUUGUCUCCUCUGUGUUUAGCCCCUUGUGGGUAGUAAAGAAAUAGGUAUUUCGUCUGCCGUUACGUUGUGAGUUCAAAUUCUGCCGAGGUCGUCUUUGCCUUUCAUCCUUUCAGGGUCGAUUAAAUAAGUACCAGUUACGCACUGGGGUCGAUGUAAUCGACUUAAUCCGUUUGUCUGUCCUUGUUUGUCCCCUCUGUGUUUAGCCCCUUGUGAGUAAUAAAGAAACAGAUAUUACGAUGCUAUCCUGAAUUUUAAUUUUUUUAAUUAUAAUUUUUUUAAUAAGUUUUGCCCUACCUCCCACUUUCGUAACCCAUGAAGUACAAGUCGCCUAAUCCGAAACUUGGCUAUAUUUUUAUUGACUUCAUAACUUUUACAAUAAUCAAUUAACGUGACUAAGUUACUCGCUAACACAAUCUCUUAACUCUGGCUCAUAGAUUUACCGUGUUAUCCGUCUUUUCUAGCUCUACUGCCAAUGACCUGUGCUCCUCACAAUAAGCUGGUCUCGUUCCACUUUCACUUAUACACUCCCGACUCGUUUUUCCCUCUUUCCCUAAUCUUGCUUGAUACUUCCUUAAUAGCGUCAGAGUCAAUGAAGGCGGCGAACUGGCAGAACCGUUAGCCCGCCGGGCGAAAUGCUUAGCAGUAUUUCGUCUGCCGCUACGUUCUGAGUUCAAAUUCCGCCGACUGCGAUUUUGCCUUUCAUUCUUUCGGGGUCGAUAAAUUAAGUACCAGCUACGCACUGGGGUCGAUGUAAUCGACUUAAAUCGUUUGUCUGUCUCUGUGUUUAGCCCCUUGUGGAUAGUAAAGAAAAGGUAUUUUGUCUGUCGUUAUGUUCUGAGUUCAAAUUCUGCCGAGGUCAACUUUGCCUUUCAUCCUUUCGGGGUCGAUUAAAUAAGUACCAGUUACGCACUGGGGUCGAUAUAAUCGACUUAAUCCGUCUGCCUGUCCUUGUUUGUCUCCUCUAUGUUUAGCCCCUUGUGGGCAGUAAAGAAAUAAGAAACCUCAACCGCAUCGUUCUCACCAGUCACGAAGAGGCUGAGAAGAUAGCCCCGUCAUUCAGAAAAGAAAUCAAAAGUUGCUGGUUUCGUCUUGUUUGUAAUGCGAAUCAUAAUGUUCCCUUGAAUUAUAUGAAUGUAUUUGUCGAUAUCGAUUUCUAUCUGAUCUGCCUCCAUUUCGAAAGCAAUGUACAUUUAUGCACACACACACACUAACACAGGCUCACAUACUAACAUGCACACACCACACACACACACACACAC